rnacentral:rRNA from 1 species
UACGGGGGGGGCAAGCGUUGUUCGGAAUUACUGGGCGUAAAGGGCUCGUAGGUGGCCAACUAAGUCAGACGUGAAAUCCCUCGGCUCAACCGGGGAACUGCGUCCGAUACUGGAUGGCUUGAGUUCGGGAGAGGGAUGCGGAAUUCCAGGUGUAGCGGUGAAAUGCGUAGAUAUCUGGAGGAACACCGGUGGCGAAGGCGGCAUCCUGGACCGAUACUGACGCUGAGGAGCGAAAGCCAGGGGAGCAAACGGG